rnacentral:rRNA from 1 species
UAUCAGUCAUGCAUAGCAUAUCAAUAAGCGGAGGAAAAGAAACUAACAAGGAUUCCCUUAGUAACGGCGAGUGAAGCGGGAAGAGCUCAAAUUUGAAAUCUUCAAGGUUUUACCUUGACGAAUUGUAGUUUAAAGAAGUGUUUUCUGUUGAAGUUUUGGUAAAAGUUCUUUGGAAUAGGACAUCAUAGAGGGUGAGAAUCCCGUAUUUGACCAUUACUUUCAGCUUUGUGAUACACUUUCAAAGAGUCGGAUUGUUUGGGAAUGCAGUCCAAAAUGGGUGGUAAAUUUCAUCUAAAGCUAAAUAUUGGCGAGAGACCGAUAGCGGACAAGUACCGUGAGGGAAAGAUGAAAAGAACUUUGAAAAGAGAGUUAAACAGUACGUGAAAUUGUCAAAAGGGAAGCGUUUGACACCAGUGUUGUUUUCUCGAAAAUCAAUUAAAAAGAGUUGGAUUUUGUGUUGUAUUGACUUUAUCAGCUUUCUUCACUCUUUUCCAGCUUUUUUUAAUGCACUUUUCGUUUAACAAGUCAACAUCAGUUUCUUUUGUUGUAAAAAGGUCAUUGGAAGGUGGCUUUCUCUUCGGAGAAAGUGUUUAUAGCCUUUGACUCAUGCAAUCGGAGAGACUGAGGUCUGCAGCGUAGAUCCUUCGGGGUUAGAUACAUUUGUGCUAAGUUAUAGCUUUUCAUAGACAACUUGUUGACUAUGUUUAGUCUUGUAGCUUACUCGCUUAUGCUAUUUUACCUACGCUUAGGAUGUUGAACUCUAUCACACACAG